CCGUGAUAGGCGGGGAGAUAGCGAUGCCCUGUUACUUGCAAUUCGCUCAGCAAGGCUGAAUGUUUCACGAGGCGAUUUUUAUUUCGUGCAGAACUUUAUAAGGGAUGUUGAUAACAAGGUCUUAUGCAACGCAGUCCCGCGAACCGUGUCAGGAUAGGAAUAUAGCAGCACUAAACGGUCUUCUGCGUGUGCCAUAAGGUAGCUUUGCAGUAGUUACCUGUAAAGUCCCCGGCGGG
rnacentral:SRP_RNA from 1 species